ensembl:lncRNA
UUUUCAGAAUGCUCAGGAGGAAUGUAACUUGAGAAGAUAAUCAUGGGAGGUGUUGCUGUUGAUUUUGCCCUUGGAGAAGAUUUAUCUUCUCAAGUAUACAUUAUGGAAAACUUGAAUAUCAGUCUACAAACACCUUUGGAGUUUAUAAAGAAUGGCAGACUGAAAAGAAUUCCAUCUUCCUAUAUUAUAGUUGGAGCAGAGGGGAUAAGUGAAUAGCCUGCAGUCCUAUAGAAAAUUGGUGUCAAAACCAGCAUUUUAACUUGGGCUCUCUUGGAGAAGAAUGAGCUUGACCCUGGACUGUUUCCACUUUCCCACAGCAACUCUCUGAGUGAUAUGUUAUAUUUGCAUUACGGAAUGAGUUAAAUGAUCUCAGUGCAGAGAGAAGUUGCACAGCUGUUUGAGUACAGUGUUUGUUAUGUACUCUAGAAAGGAUGACAAAGGUUAUAGUGGUAUGAAUGUCCACUUCUGAAGCUGUGUACACUGGGUGUUAUCUCUGACUUACACAUUGAAAUGAACCCAAAAUGUUUACUCUCAUUGUUCCCUUAUACUGGGAAAUUAAAGGUCUAUUCACAUGCUGUUGCUAUUCUUAGCAUUACCUUGCUUACAUUGAAGAAGUUAAGCUCACACUGGUUUAUUUAAUUCUAUGAAUUCUUUGAUGUAGACAAAGCAGCAUUUCCCUUAUUGCUAGUAUGAUGCAUUAUGCAUCACAUGAAAUAUUUAAAGAAUCUGUACCCAUAACACCUACUCUGUCUCAUGCUGUCUUAGUUUAACAGCAGGGGAUGGACUUUCUCACUCUGCCAAAGUCUGGUCUGUUGAUAUAAUGACUGUGCUAAAGAGGGUUGAACAGAAUUGCCAAAUAUGCUUGAGUCGAGAAAAGAAUACAGCUAAUAUUUCACGUUUUCAUUGAAUGACAGUGGUAUAGAGUAUGUACUGCUGCAAAUUUUUCUAAGGCUUUUCAUUUGAAAAGAGGAAAACUCAAGUUCUAGUUUAGAGAUCAGAUUUCUCUUGCAGGGGUCAGAUAAUGCUGAAUGGAAAAGUUAGUCAUAUAUUACAUAUUCUUAAAUUAUUUUUGAAGAGUAAAGGUACCUAUUUCUACUGGAAGAAAUGUGAGAACCACUGUGUAACUUCUUUAGUGGUAUUGUGAAAAUAAUUAAAUAUAGUCUUUUAAAAACUUUGCAGCAGUGGUCAGGCUCUGAUGCUCCAGCAGUCUUCCAUGGAAUCUUAGCUUCAAUCUUAUGGAAGCUAAUGUUUCUUGAUAAUGAACUGUGAAAUAAAAAAUGAUUGGCUAU